rnacentral:rRNA from 1 species
GAUGAACGCUGGCGGCGUGCCUAAUACAUGCAAGUCGAGCGAACAGAUGAGGAGCUUGCUCCUCUGACGUUAGCGGCGGACGGGUGAGUAACACGUGGAUAACCUACCUAUAAGACUGGGAUAACUUCGGGAAACCGGAGCUAAUACCGGAUAAUAUAUUGAACCGCGUGGUUCAAUAGUGAAAGACGGUUUUGCUGUCACUUAUAGAUGGAUCCGCGCCGCAUUAGCUAGUUGGUAAGGUAACGGCUUACCAAGGCAACGAUGCGUAGCCGACCUGAGAGGGUGACUGGACACACCGGAACUGAGACACGUUCCGAACACCAACGGAAGGAAGCAUUAAGGAAUCGGCCGAAAUGGGCGAAGGCCUGACGAAGCAACGCCGCAGGAGUGAUGAAGGUCUUCGGAUCGGAAAACUCCUUAAGUAGGGAAGAACGAAUGAGUAAGCAACUACGCACGUCUUGACGGUACCAAAGCAGAAAGACACGGCUAACUACGUG